GCCGAGAUAGCUCAGUUGGUAGAGCACACGCCUGAAAAGCGUGGUGUCCCGUGUUCGAUUCACGGUCUCGGCA
rnacentral:tRNA from 1 species